ensembl:snRNA U6 U6 spliceosomal RNA
AUGCUUGCUUCGGCAGCACGUAUACUAAAACUGGAACCAUACAGAGAAGACUCGCCUGGCCCCUGCCCAAAGAUGACACACAAAUGCAUGAGGCCUUCCAUAUUUUU